UGCCCAGCAAUUGCUAUCCCUACCUCCUCGAGGUACGAGUAACCAUAGGGAAAAUCGGGUAACCAACCCUGGUGGGAACUUUGGUCGUAUGCUGACAGGGAAGG
rnacentral:ribozyme from 1 species